AGAGCUAUCAGCUUCCCAGUUUGCACAAUUCAUCAAGAAAUAAUGCGGAGCCACUGCCACAAAUGAUGAGGCAUCUCUCAGAAGCUUAACUUUCUAUCCAUCCCAUCUCUUGUACAGACGAUGCCAGUUAAUUACUUUGAAUGUUCUGGAGAUUGAACUGAAAUCUCCUGUUGAACUGCUAAACGUCCAGCCUCUUCUGAUGACUCUGGAGGCAGAGGUGUGUCCCCGUGCUGGAUGGUGGGAGGUUCUACAUCAUUACCUGGCCGAGAGUUGAGCUGUAGCCUCCUGAUGGACUGGAGAAGAUUCCACCUCUGCAUUAGGCUGUGUUGCUAUGGUGAGCUUCACGUCUGGAGGCUUGAGACAUUGGGAAAAUCUGAAUGCUGCAUUUGAUGGUGACUUGGAGGUGAAACUGGGACUUCAUGAUGUUCUGGGGGCUGAGCUGGGGUCUCUUGCUGGGCUGGAGAAGAUUCAACCUCCCCAGAAGACUCAGAAGGCUCAGCUGGCUGCUCCUGUUCACUGGGGAAAAGUUCAGGCUCCAUAGGAGGACCUGGAGGCUCAGUUGGGGCCUCCUGUUGGGUUGCAGAAGGUUCCACCCCCUCUGGAGGCUGAACUGGGGCCUCCUGCUGGGCUUGGGAAGAUUCUGUCUCAUUUGUAGGCUCUGAAGUCAUGGUAACCUUCACAUCUGCAGGUUUAACUGUAAUUUUGGGCAAGUUAUAAUGAGCUUGAUCCUCACCUGGAGGUUGAACUGUCACUUCAUGAUUCAGUGGAGUUUGAGCUAGACUCUCCACAGAGGACUCUGGAGGCAGAGCUGGCGCCUCCUGCAGGGCUGAAGGUUCUACCUCCUGAGGGAGCUGUGGAAGCUGUGCUGGGUCUUCUUCCUGGAGUGAAGAGGACUGGAUGUCUUUCAGGGUCUCUGGAUUUUGAGUUUUGGGCUCUAGAUGGAAUUGAGAAAGUCCAACUUGCUCAGGAGGCCCUGGAGGCUCAUCUGCAUUCACCCGGAGUUCUGAAGGCAGGCUGCCGGGAUACAGUGUGUCCAUACUCGAAUAUUCAUCCUGCAGAGUCUGUUUCUGACGCUGAGGUUUGGAUAAUUGGUGUGGAAUCCCAAGAAUCUCAGCAAGGCUCCAAUGCUCAGCUAGAUCUUUCUUCACGUUCUGGGGCAAAACAACAAAUUUGGUUCGUUUUGAAAUCUUACUGUCCAGUCAAACAAGUAUUUCAUCUGCCUGAUGACCUGCAGCCCAAUCUAGAUCUGCAGUUUGAACCUUACAUUUGAGGCCAGGAAGCUGAACUGGGGUCUGGUUCUGAUCCCCGUCCGGCAGUGGAACCACCUCUGGGAGCCUUUCUUGUGGAGUCAGCUUGUCAUUUAAAUCCUGGUGUGCAGCCAAGAACUGCUCUGGCCCCAGGGGCAGCUCUCCAGCUGAAUCCGUGUCCAGGAAUGGAACCAAAUUUUCAGUCAAUUCCUGAGGCAGGGUGACACCUGUGAGGAAGCAGAGGGCCCCAUGUAAUCAAAGUCCCCCAGGGACUGUCGGGGGAGUAGGCGCAUGGGGAGAUUCCCAUGGGAGAUGGGAGGAGCGGGAAGACCAGGGCUCAGGCGGCCCCAGAGGGUUAGAGGUCAUCUGGAGCUGGUCCUUGACCCACACCAGAGGCUGAGCCCCCUUGACUAGUAGACACAAGAGUUGCCACGUAAGGAAGGGCCAUGGGCCCCAGAAACGCAGCCAAGACAUGACACACGCUAGUGCUGCACACUCAACGGGAGCCAUUCUGGCAGCCCUGAGAUGCUCAUGCCCCUUAUAAGCAUGUGCCCCACCCUGUCUUUGUGAGACCUUUAUUUGUGCCACCUUUAUUAGGCUCGGGUCCAGAUCUGUUCCAUGUUACCAGGGCAAUCUUAUGUCACAAUCUCACUCAAGUGAUCCUCCCACCUCAGCCUUCUGAGUAGCUGGGACUACAGGAUGUGCCACCACACCCAGCUGAUUUUUGUGUUUUUUGUAGAGACAGGGUCUCCCUAUGAUGCCCAGGCUGGUCUCAAACUCCUAGGCUCAAGUGAUCCUCCCACCUCAGUGUCCUAAAUUGCUGGGAUUACAGGGAUGAGCCACCAUGCCCAGCCAAUCCAGCCAUCUUGCAGCCAAUCCUCCAGCCCCAAUGAAGCCUUCAGAUGACUACAGCCCCAGUUAGUAUCUUGACUAUAAACUCAUGACAGAUCCUAAGCUAGAACCACUCUUCUAUGCUGCUCCUGAAUUCCUAACCCAUAUACAGUGUGUGAGAUCAUAAACACUUACUGUUGUUUUAGGCCUCAAAUUUUGGAGCAAUUUAUUAUGCAGCAAUCGGUGACUAAAACACACAGUAAAAUUGCUGUCAUUAGUAUUAUAAAGUACUUCCUGAUUUGGAGCUGAAAUCCACUUUCUUGUAAUUGCCACCCUGUCUUCCAGUCCCGUCUCUUUGGGCCACCUAGAAAAAAUACAAUCUCUCUUCCUCAUGGUCAAAAGGUUUGGUGCCAGGUUUCCUGCCAACAGUUUAAUUCAUCAGACAUUUGCUGAAGAGUGAUCACUGUGCCAGGCAGUAGGCAUGCAAAGAUAAGUAGGAGGAGGUCCCUGCCUAGCCACACACUCAAAACAUUCUUCCACAGGAGGUGUGCUGUAAUGAAGGGACCUGACUCCCAGUGCAGGAGAAGGAGGUCCAAAUGCAGGUGUGGCUGGUUCUGCUUACAGAGGUGAGGGAAGGCUUCUCAGAAGAGAUGGCAGGCACUGAGGCCUAAGGGAUGAAUAGGCGUUCUCCAGGAUGACGGGAGGGGAAGGACUAACAAGCAGAAGCUACAGGCAGAAGACCACCCUGACACUAACCACUUUCUUCCACAGGGCACACAUCUCCUCUCCUCUUGUCCAACUUCUGAGUCCUCUCCCACCCCCUCCCAAUCUUGGUAACUCCACUCAGAACACACGCUUUACUGUCACAUGAUGACAUCUAGAGGGAGCCAGCCCUCCUCCAGGGUGGUCCGUCCAGUGUGGAGUGGAGUUGGCUGUCACCUUUCUUUUUCCGGAAGCUCCGCUUGGUCCAGACUUGUCUGAGGUUUUUUGGCCUCCACAUCCUUCAGCUGACUCAGGCUGGGCCUGCAGGCAUCUGGACUGCAAAGUCAUUUUUCACACGUGCUCCUGGGAAACCACAUCUCUUUGUACUUUGUACUUCUGCUGUUGUUUUGUUUUCACAAUUUUUCAUGGGUGUUUUAAAGUUCAAUAAUUUGAUCUAUGCAAACUGCUCAUCUCAGCUCUUGGUUGGCAGGGACCAUGUGGAUGCAAAUUGAGCCACCAAAAAACCCACUUUAGAACACGUGCUGGAAACAGAAACCAUCUGUCAUUCUAAUGCCGCUGUGGUUGGUAGUGAUUCAGACUCAUUGCAGCUCCUUCCAGCCUUCAAAGAUCUCACGGGAUAAGAGCCUGGCUUGGAUUUGAAGACACCUUGUAUGAAGGAAAGGCUUUGGCAGGGGGUAAGGGGGCUGGGCUGUGAUACUUUGAAGGAGCUGAGCACAGACAGAAGGAAAUUGCAAGGGGAUGUUUGUCUGGCUCCUCACGGCUCCCACCUGCCCCCGUCAGGAAGAAUCAGACCAUUGUACAGGUAGAACUCUUGGGUUGUUUAUCUUCUCAGACCCAGCUUAGUACAAGGUUUCGCCCCAGUUUUCUUUCUACCCAAAAAAUGACCACAGGAAAGAGUGACUUGCCUUUGCCAAAUGUCCAGUCCAUACUCUCCUUUCCCAUUUCUCUGCCUCUUUCUCCCAUUAUCGGCUUCUAACAGAAAAUAAGAAGAGAAAGCUUCCCUUUGGUCCCAUCAAAGAUAACAUGUAGACAUUCAUUCAUGCGUUCAUUCCUUUAACUAGCAUUUAUUGGGUUCCUACUAUGUUCCUGGCAUUGUUAUUGGUACUGGUGACCCUAGUGUAGAAGACACAAUCCCUGCUGUCAAGAGGUCACAGUUCUGGAAGGAACCCAGCAGUACUGGAGGCAGCGCUAGUGGAGAAUGGGAGCACAUAGAAGAGGCAUUUGACCCAGCUUUGGAAAGAAUUGGAAAAGGCUUUAAAGUAGAGUAAAAGUUUGCCAGAAAGAAUAAUCGUUAUUACAGCUUUUUUUAAGUGUCUUCUACAUGCCAAGCACUAUGCUAAAAUCUCCCUAUAUAUAUUGUUUAAUUUUAAUCCUCACAACUCUAAGAGGUCACUACUGUAAUUAUUCCAACUUCACAAAUGAAGAAAGUGAGAUUUAGCAAGGUCACCUUGGUGGGGAGUGGUUGCUCAUACCUAUAAUCCCAGGAUUUGGGAAGCCGAGGCAGGAGGAUCACUUGAGUUUAGGGGUUCGAGACCAGCUUGGGCAACAUAGUGAGUCCCUUGUCUCUACAAAAAGAAAAAAAAAUAGCUGGAUAUGGUAGCAUGCACUUGUGGACCUAGCUACUUGGGAGGCUGAGAUGGGAGGAUGGCUUGAGCCCGGGAGGUUGAGGCUGCAGUGAGCCGUGGUCAUGCCAUUGCACUCUAGUCUGGGUGACAGAACGAGACCCUGUCUCAAAUAAAUAAAUAAAUAGGCUGGGCAUGGUGACUCAGGCCUGUAAACCCAGCACUUUGGGAGGCCAAGGCAGGUGUAUCCCUUGAGGUCAGGAGUUCAAGACAAUCCUGACCAAAAUGGUGAAACCCCGUCUCUACUAAAAAUACAAAAAUUACCUGGGCGUGAUGGCACAUGCCUGUAGUCCCAGAUACUAGGGAGGCUGAAGAAGGAGAGUUGCCUGAACCCAGAAGGCAGAGGUUGCACUAAGCUAAGAUCGCAUCACUGCACUGCAGCCUGGGUGACAGAGUGAGACACUGUCUCAAAAAAAUACUAAUAAUAAGUAAAUAAAUAAAUAAAUAAAUAAAUAAAGCCAACCUGCUCACCUCUUUACUAAGAAUAAAUAGCAGAAAUGAGAAAUAGAUGCAGCUUUUCCUGACUGUGGAGCCCAUUCUCUUACCCAAGGCUGCUAUUUACAGUCGUGCAGGUUGUACAUUGCACAAUUCCAAUGCUGGCCCUGCACUCAGUGAGCCAUUAUAGAUGGGAAGGGUAUCCAGGCAGAAGGGGCCUACUUUGCAGAAAUAUGAAAAAGCAACCUAUAUUCAGGGAACUGACCCCAUACAGCCAUGUCAGAGGCUACAGAACUCCUUGAAGAUGGGCAGCUCCUCUGCACCUCCAGUGAUUGUUUACAGAACUGACCGAUAGUGUCUUGGGAGAGCUCCUGGGGUUUUGCUUUUUGUUUGUUUGUGUUUGUUUUGCUUUUGAGACAGGGCCUUGCUCUGUCACCCAGGCUAGAGGGCAGUGGUGCAAUGACAGCUCACUGCAACCUUGACCUCCCAGGCUCAAGCUAUUCUCCCACUUCAGCCUCUAGAGUAACUGCGACUACAGGCAUAUACCACCGCACUCAGCUAAUUUUUAUUUUUGUAGAAAUGGGGGGUCUCACUAUGUUGCCCAGGCUAGUCUGUAACUCCUGGCUUUAAGCGACCCUCCUGCCAUGGCCUCCCAAAGUGCUGGGAUUACAGGCAUAGCCACCGCGCCAGGCCAGGCUUUGCAUUUGGUGUAGAGACCCAAUCCUUCCUUCUUACAGAGCUAUGGAGCUCUCAGCAGGAUGUGCAUAUUUCUGAACUGCUGACCAUGCAAACAUUCAAGCACAUAGGAUGCAGGAGGUCCUGAGUCUCCAAACUGCUCAGUGUCCUACGAAUGGCCAAUCAGCUUCUCAUGCAUAGGCGCCAAACAUAGCCUGCCAAACAAGCCAGUUGAAUAUCUAAGCCACCCCAACUUCUUUGCAGAAGUAGUUUCAGUAGCAAAGAAUGGUCUGAGAAAAAUGGGCACAUCCAGGGUGAGUGCCUACAGCACUCCAGGUACUCAGCAAACGUGAUCUCUUCCACUCUCACAGCUGUAUGAGACAUCAUCUUUCAUUUUGCCGAUGAGGAAACUGAGGUGCAGGGAUCAAUUAACUUACCUAGGUUACGUGUGCAACAAGCAGCCACGAUUCUCACCAGAAUGUUUCUAGUGCCACAGCCUCUAUGCUUCUAUCCUAACGUCGGCUCUCAAAAGAUACCUGGAAAAGGGCAGGAAACAGCUUAUAAGGCUCCUAAAAUGCCUGACAGCAUGUAUGUGGCAGAGUCUCUCUCUACUUUUUUUUUUUUUUUUUUUUUGAGACAGAGUCUCACUCUGUCGCCCAGGCUGGAGUGCAGUGGCGCAAUCUUGGCUCACUGCACAUUCUGCCUCCCGGGUUCACGCCAUUCUCCUGCCUCAGCCUCCUGAGUAGCUGGGACUACAGGCGCCCGCCACCACACCCAGUUAAUUUUUUGUAUUUUUAGGAGAGACGAGGUUUCACCGUGUUAGCCAGGAUGGUCUCGAUCUCCUGACCUCGUGAUCUGCCCGCCUCGGCCUCCUAAACUGCUGGGAUUAUAGGCAUGAGCCACCGUACCCAGCCCUCUACUAAGGAACCCGGAAAAGGGCAGGAAACAGCUUAUAUGGUUCCUAAAGUGCCUGAGAGCUUGUAUGUGGCAGAAUCUCUCUCUACUUUUAAUUUUAUGUAUUUUUCUAGAACCUAUGUCAUCAAUCUCAGAGGUCAGAGACCCCUCCUCAGGUGGAGAGGCUGCUUCCAGACAUGAUUCCACCAGAGCCUUUUCUCACUGUGCAAUAGUUUGUUGUUGACAGAGUAGAAUAAAUUAUUAAAUGCUUUUCUGGAA